rnacentral:rRNA from 1 species
AUUGAACGCUGGCGGCAGGCCUAACACAUGCAAGUCGAACGAGUGGCGGACGGGUGAGUAAUGUCUGGGAAACUGCCUGAUGGAGGGGGAUAACUACUGGAAAAGGUAGCUAAUACCGCAUACCAUCAGAUGGGCCCAGAUGGGAUUAGCUAGUUGGUGGGGUAACGGCGCACCAAGGCGAAGAUGCCUAGCUGGUCUGAGAGGAUGACCAGCCACACUGGAACUGAGACACGGUCCAGACUCCUACGGGAGGCAGCAGUGGGGAAUAGUGCAGAAUGGGCGCAAGCCUGAUGCAGCAAUGCCGCGGGGAGGAAGAAGGCCUUCGGGUUGUAAAGUACUGUCAGCGGGGAGGCGGUACCCGCAGAAGAAGCACCGGCUAACUCCGUGCCAGCAGCCGCGGUAAUAC